rnacentral:rRNA from 1 species
UAGGGAAUCUUGCGCAAUGCGCGAAAGCGUGACGCAGCGACGCCGCGUGGGGGAAGAAGGCCUUCGGGUUGUAAACCCCUUUCAGGAGAGACGAAGGUGCGGCGGCGAACAGCCGUCCGUACUGACGGUACCUCCAGAAGAAGCCCCGGCUAACUACGUGCCAGCAGCCGCAGUAAUACGUAGGGGGCUAGCGUUGUCCGGAAUCAUUGGGCGUAAAGCGCGCGUAGGCGGCCCGGUAAGUCCGCUGUAAAAGUCCAGGGCUCAACCCUGGAAAGCCGGUGGAUACUGUCGGGCUCGAGUCCGGAAGAGGCGAGUGGAAUUCCUGGUGUAGCGGUGGAAUGCGCAGAUAUCAGGAGGAACACCAAUGGCGAAGGCAGCUCGCUGGGACGGUACUGACGCUGAGGCGCGAAAGCGUGGGGAGCAAACAG